UAACACAUGCAAGUCGAGGGGCAUCCCUUUGAAAGCUUGCUUUCUUUGCCGGCGACCGGCGCACGGGUGAGUAACACGUAUCCAACCUGCCCUUUACUCGGGGAUAGCCUUUCGAAAGAAAGAUUAAUACCCGAUAGUAUAAUGAUUCCGCAUGGUUUCAUUAUUAAAGGAUUCCGGUAAAGGAUGGGGAUGCGUUCCAUUAGGUUGUUGGUGAGGUAACGGCUCACCAAGCCUUCGAUGGAUAGGGGUUCUGAGAGGAAGGUCCCCCACAUUGGAACUGAGACACGGUCCAAACUCCUACGGGAGGCAGCAGUGAGGAAUAUUGGUCAAUGGGCGCUAGCCUGAACCAGCCAAGUAGCGUGAAGGAUGAAGGCUCUAUGGGUCGUAAACUUCUUUUAUAUAAGAAUAAAGUGCAGUAUGUAUACUGUUUUGUAUGUAUUAUAUGAAUAAGGAUCGGCUAACUCCGUGCCAGCAGCCGCGGUAAUACGGAGGAUCCGAGCGUUAUCCGGAUUUAUUGGGUUUAAAGGGAGCGUAGGUGGACUGGUAAGUCAGUUGUGAAAGUUUGCGGCUCAACCGUAAAAUUGCAGUUGAUACUGUCAGUCUUGAGUACAGUAGAGGUGGGCGGAAUUCGUGGUGUAGCGGUGAAAUGCUUAGAUAUCACGAAGAACUCCGAUUGCGAAGGCAGCUCACUGGACUGCAACUGACACUGAUGCUCGAAAGUGUGGGUAUCAAACAGGAUUAGAUACCCUGGUAGUCCACACAGUAAACGAUGAAUACUCGCUGUUUGCGAUAUACAGUAAGCGGCCAAGCGAAAGCAGUAAGUAUUCCACCUGGGGAGUACGCCGGCAACGGUGAAACUCAAAGGAAUUGACGGGGGCCCGCACAAGCGGAGGAACAUGUGGUUUAAUUCGAUGAUACGCGAGGAACCUUACCCGGGCUUAAAUUGCAGUGGAAUGAUGUGGAAACAUGUCAGUGAGCAAUCACCGCUGUGAAGGUGCUGCAUGGUUGUCGUCAGCCCGUGCCGUGAGGUGUCGGCUUAAGUGCCAUAACGAGCGCAACCCUUAUCUUCAGUUACUAACAGGUCAUGCUGAGGACUCUGGAGAGACUGCCGUCGUAAGAUGUGAGGAAGGUGGGGAUGACGUCAAAUCAGCACGGCCCUUACGUCCGGGGCUACACACGUGUUACAAUGGGGGGUACAGAAGGCAGCUAGCGGGUGACCGUAUGCUAAUCCCAAAAUCCUCUCUCAGUUCGGAUCGAAGUCUGCAACCCGACUUCGUGAAGCUGGAUUCGCUAGUAAUCGCGCAUCAGCCACGGCGCGGUGAAUACGUUCCCGGGCCUUGUACACACCGCCCGUCAAGCCAUGGGAGCCGGGGGUACCUGAAGUACGUAACCGCAAGGAUCGUCCUAGGGUAAAACUGGUGACUGGGGCUAAG
rnacentral:rRNA from 1 species